rnacentral:SRP_RNA from 11 species
AGCCUGCCAGGCCACGAAAGAAGCAGCCGCAGCAGCACAGCUGCGU